CUCCGCGCAGUCGAAGGCCCGGCACCGAGGGCUGGCAGGUCCCAGAGCCAGGAGCAGGAAGCCGACUUCCCGUACCUCCCCGGGGACCGAAAACCGCCGGUGCCGCCGCACCCUUCGCCGCCGCCGCUUGCUCAUGGAGAGCCCGUGCUGCCGCCGCCGCCGCCGCCGCCUCAUCUACUAGCACCGUCUGCUGUCUGGGCCUCCCCGGCGGGAGUGCUGGGCUGUGGCAAGGCCUCCAUCGCACCCGCCGUGGCGGGAGCCACAGCAGCUCCAGCGCCCAGGCCCGAUCCGACCGGACCCACGGAGCCAGGACCGCAGGACGCGUAGCUUCUUAUUACGGAGGAAGAUUCGGCCUGCCUGACCUCGGCCCCCCUCCCCCCAGCCCCUAGCUCCCAGCCUCCUGACGGCGCUGCUGCGCAGGCGCGAAGACGCCUUCGCCAAACAGGCGUGUGUCGGAACCUUGGAGCCACCAUGAGACAAGACUAUUAUGCUGAAGAGGUCACAUUUUGGUCAACAGAGCCAGCUGAGCCCCGCGGUCUAGUCAUCCCUGCCAUUGUGCCAGAUAUGUGAGUGAAGCUGUCUCAAACCCUCCAAACUUCUCAUUAACCAGUUUCUCAGCAGAAGAUACUCAAAGGAAGAUGGAGCCACAGAACAAAGAUUAAAUCCAAGGUCCUGUUAGAAAAUCAUGGAUUCAAGUUUGCAGGUUUCCAGAUCAAGAACUGCUCUCAGGAACUGCAUGGAGCCUCAUCCGUUCCUAGACUUGAUUUAGAUGAUAAGAUACUGGACUUCCAACUUGAGCUUGAUGCAUAAUGGAAUGAGACUUGAGACGUUGAGAGAAGGGGUGAAUAUAUAUUUCAUGAGAAAGAAAUAUAAAACAUUGUUGGCCAUAA